rnacentral:lncRNA from 1 species
UUCUUCCAAUGUCUUCUUGGAAGUCCUUUGACAAAAUUUGUUGUAAUAUCUCUGCUUUUGCCUCUCCAUUCGAGCCAAAUUUGUGUUACCAUGAUGAAUAGGCCCUAUUGAAAUCAACUGCGGAGUGUAGGCUUUUCGGUUUGCUUCACGAAAAUGACUAGGGACCUUGUAAAUACAACACUCAGGAGCAGGCUCAUAGUCUUCUUUAGGGAUAUCAAUUUCCAAAUCUUGGGGUUGGUCGUUGUUUUCAAUAAGUGGAGCAAUUUCUUGGUCGGUGUUUGCUGCCAUAUAUGCAACUUCCUUCUCCCCUAAACAAAUGACAAUGAACACCAGUGAGCAGUAACAAUAGAAUUAAUCAAGCCACAUGUUUAGAUUAAAGCUUUAUCAAGCCACAACUUUAGAAGAUUUACUCCAAAAAAACAUAGGAUUAGAUUCAGAUGAACUUAAUUUCAUCAAAAGUGAAGCAAUUAGUUAAAGAUAAAAAGCAAAUAAAAUGAAAAGUCCUCAAAAUAAUAGAAGUACAUACCUCUGAUGUUUAAAAAAAGGAUCAAACCAGCAGAAACAGCUCAAGGUUCAAAGUGCGAGAUGAACCAACUUGGUUUCGUUAUUGAAUACAACUGGUUCCGGCAAGUCUUGGCGAGAGUAAUGAGCAAAGUUCUCUCACAUUUAUAGAGGAAAAUGCCCACCUUGUUUCUUAAGUCCCAUCCUUGGAUUGCACAAGUCGUCUACGAGUCAAUUUUUCGUACAAAAACUUAUUGCUUGUUAGUUGUUAGCUGUCAGGUCUGUGGCAUUGGAUGCGGGGCCAAUCUCCAUCCCGGGUCGGUCCCAUGCACCAGUGAAUCAUAAUCGUCUGUGGGACUCGCUAGACCUGGCUGAGUGAAAGCAUUGGUCCCACCCAAAUUCUACCUACACUUGGCUCUCCAUGCAAAUUAAUAUUAGCCUAACAGGGGGAGUUCUUCCACCCUCAUAUCAUCUAAACAUGCGGUGAAACAAUUUCUUUCAUUCAAUUCCAACCCCCUUUUUUUUUUACCAGGGGAGCAGCAGGUUGAUCAUUGCAUAAUUGAAUUACUCCAGGAACUACGCGCCUAAAAUUCAAUGUACCUUGCCACAAAGGCCAAGGGUAAAAGCAUAUGCAAGAGAAUAGAAGUACGUACCUUUGAUGCUGAAGAGGAGGAGGAUCAAACCAAGAGAAACAGCUCGAGGUUCAAAGUGUAAAAUGAAGCAAUUUCUUGGUCGGUGUUUUGCUGCCAUAUAUGCAACUUCCUUCUCCCCUAAACAAAUGACAAUUAACACCAGUGAGCAAUAACAAUAGAAUUAAUCAAAACACAAGUUUAGAUUAAAGCUUUAUCAAGCCACAACUUUAGAUUUACUCCAAAAAAACAUAGGGUUAGAUUCAGAUGAAGGAACUUAAUUUCAUCAAAAGUGAAGCAAUUAGUUAAAGAUAAAAAGCAAAUAAAAUGAAAAGUCCUCAAAAGAAUAGAAGUACAUACCUCUGAUGUUUAAAAAAGGAUCAAACCAGUAGAAACAGCUCAAGGUUCAAAGUGCGAGAUGAACCUGUCACGCCCCAGACCCGAGGCAUAACAGACGCCACACACCUGUAAGAUAUAACCUUACAGGCAUGCAAGGCUCAAACAUACAUCUUAACUAACUAACUAAAAUGGAUCAAAUAUAUUUAUAAAAUAUAACAAUUCUCAGGGUUAAGAUACUAAGAUAAAAUCCUGAAUAACAAUUUAAGGUAGCUAAAAGGUUCACAACAUUUAAACAAUCUUGAAGCAAAUUAACACCAUAUGCUAGCCUAUGAAACGCCACUCCCUAAAGUUUUCCACUUGUUUGACCAAAUUAUAACCUGAAAAAAAUGUGAAGGAAAGAGUGAGUCCAACAGCUCAGCAAGUGACUAACAUCCCUUCAUCCGGAUUUAGCAUGCACAAAACAUUUAGGCUAAAACUUUUAUUCUCAUAUAAAUAUCAAAAACAGAAUUUUGGGUAAUCUAAUUCAAAUAACAAAACUAUCUUAAUUUCAAAAUUUUAUAAUAAUGGAUAAAUAUGAUUUCACAAUUAUUGCAAACUUUAAUGGUCUCCCGUAAUGUACUAUGACCAUACUUAACCCCUAGGACAUAGGUCAUAAUCAUACAAAAACCAUAAUUAAUCCUAGUGGCAUGGGUCAUAAAACUACAAUUAACCCCAGUGGCAUGGGUCAUAAGUAUAUCAGAAACAACUAUUAGCUACUCUGAACAGAUAUCACAAGUAACACUAUUCUACAACCAGUGGUGCAGUUGAGAUAUCAAUCUCUAAUCACAUAAUACAUGUCGACAUGGUCAACGUUUAACCCCCAUUGGUAAGAUCAUAACAUAGUCAUACUAGGAGACAAAACAAAAUAUAUUUUCUGAUUAUCCAAGUUCACAAAACGAUAAUAUUUACUUUCACAAAACUCAUAUCAUGCAUAUCAAAAACAUAUGUAUUUCAAACUAAGUACUUAUAUAUAUAAUCACGAAGAUAAUCAUAUAUACAUAUGUUAGAUAAAAAUCAUAUUUAUAUUUCAAAAUCAGAAAUCGUAUUUCACAAAAAUUCAUAUUCUAAAAUCCAACAUACGAAAAUCAUAUAUAUACAUUUUGCAAAUUCAACCCGAUUUUAUAAAUCAUAGGACAAAAUAUAGUAUACAUAAUAUAUGAAAUUCAAUUGCACAUUGAGGCUAAUUUUUAGGGUGUGAAAACACAAAAAAGAUAUCAAUCACUUACCUGAUUUUGUCAAUUCCACUUUCAAGUAGCAAAUCAAAAAAUCCUCUUAGUAGCUUAAUAUUUCAAGAAAUACAUACAAAAAUCAGAACUGAAUUUGCAAACAAAUCCUACAAGGCGACUUUCCGUUGACCAUCCUAAGCACUUAGGGUGUGUAGCGAUCUCUAGAAUAAUUUAAGAACAUUUUUUAUUAAUAAGAUAAUAUUUUAUUAUUAUAUAUAUUUUUGAAUUAAUAAAAUUUUCAAUAAAGUUGAGACUUAAACUUCAAUCAUAAAAUCAAUAAGGAUUUUAAUUUUAGAUAGAAAGAUAACACAAAUUUCAUUCCUAAAAAUCAUAUUUAAAAUUUUUCAUAAAUUUUUGAUAUUUUAAUAAAAUUUACUAAUUUAAGAAAUAAAUUUAUAAAAUAUAAAUAUAUAUACUUUUAGAUAUAAAAAUACAGUAGAAAUCACAUAUUCAAUAUUUAUGAAGUUUACAGCAGAAUUUAUCACAUAUUAAUUAAAAUCGAAUUUCAAAAAAAAUUAAAAGGGAUUUUCUGUUUUUCUGAAAUUUUCAAAAUCUAGAUGGCCAUUUGGCCUACUUUGAGCUUUUAUAACUUUUAACCUGAAAAAUUUCCAGUGAUGAAAUCAACACCAAUAUGCAGUAUUCAUAUCAUAGUACAGCACCAAAAUUUUUUUCGAUUAAAAAGAACAAAAAAUUCCCAAGUUUCGAAAGCUAAUAUUCUCAAAAUCAUCAUAAAAUACCCAAAUUUCUGGGUUUUCAGUUUCAACAAGCUUAUUUUGAGGCUUCAAUUCUCUUAACACAGGAAGCCUAUAAUUGAGCUAUUGACGCCAAAUUAAACAUCUCAUUUCAUACUACAAAAGCCCUCAAAGAAAUGACAAAAACCUUGCCGGAAUAUGGAGUUUCGGUGACCCAAAAUUAAGUUGUCAAAACUGUUAAAAAUCAGGUUCCCAAUUAACUUUAAAAAUUCAUAUCUUCCUAACCACAAGGCCAAACGAGAUGCUACAAAAGCCAUUGAAAAGAUCUUUUCAAGACCUUUUCAUUGGUACUGAUCAUGUCACCGGAAAGUCAUCGAAAAAGUACCAAAUUUAAAUAAAAAGGUAAAAAAGAGUGUAAAUUAUUUAAAGCUUUUGUGCCAAAACUAUGAAAACACAACUCUAAACAUCCCUCAAUUAGAAAUCCCUUGAAUACUAUUCCCUUUUCUCUGUCUUUCUUCUUCCUUGGUGUUAAGUUAUUCUGACUGCUUAUCAUUUGAGUCUGAUGAAAUAAACUACGUGAGUUUUUCUACCUUUUUUUUUAAACGUGUUGGGAUAAAAUUAAUUAUUUUUAUUUUAAAAUUUGAUAAGAUUAACGGAUUAUUAUUUAAUUUAUUUUUUUUUAUUAUUAUUUUUAAAUAUGAUAAGAUAAGAUUGAUUAAUUUUUAUUUAAACGUGAUAACGUAAUCUGACUCUAACUAAAAUAUAUCUACUAUAUUUUAAAUUUUUUUUUUUUUAUGUAUGGGAUAUUACAGAACUAACUUGGUUUCGUUAUUAAAUGCAACUGGUUCCAGCAAGUCUUGGCGAGAGUAACGAGCAAAGUUCUCUCAAAUGUAUUAUAGGAAAAUGCCCACCUUGUUUCGUAAGUUCCAUCCUUAGAUCGAACAAGUCGUCUACGAGUCAAUCUUUCGUACAAAAAAUUAUUGCUUGCUAGAUGUCAGGUCCGUGGCCUUGGAUGCGGGUCCUAUCUCCAGCCUUGGUCGGUCACAUGCAUCCGUGAAUCACAAUCGCCAGUGGCACUCGCUGGACCUGGCUAAGUGAAAGCGUGGGUCCGACCCAAAUUGUACCCACACUUGGCUCUCCACGCGAAUUAAUACUAGCCAAACAGGAGGAGUUCUUCCACCCUCAUAUGAACAAAGCAUGGGGUGAAACAAUUUCUUUCAUUCAAUUCCAAUCCAUUUACUAGCCAUAGUGGAGAAAUCAAUGUCCCACAUGUUUCCGCUCAUUGGCUGCACUGCCACCGUAGAAUGGUAGUUUUUGUAAACAUAUUUACAUGAAAUGAUAUAUCUUUUACUUUUCAAAAAAAAAAAUCGUAAAGUCAUUUUUUUUAUCAGGGGAGCAGCUGGUUGAUUAUUGCAUAAUUGAAUUACUCCAGGAACUACGUGCCUAAAAUUCAAUGUAGCUUGCCACAAAGGCCAAGGGUUAACGCAUAUGCAGCCCCACAUUCUUCAUAGUGAAUUUUUGGAGUGUUUUUCUGAGAUAGCCACUCCACAGAGCAGGCUCCCCUUCAACAAAAGAAAAGAUUGUUGAGUCCUAGAUCUCUCAUGUUGAAACUUUGAUUUGUGAUUGCUUCUUUACCAAUUCCAGACAGGUUAGUUUCUAUAUUCGUUGACCACAUAGAGCUGGGAAAGUUUUUAUCCAAAUGUUCAAGGACAAAAGAGACCACAAAUGGAAUGGAAGUAUACCUACUUGAUUGUUCAGAUUAACUCACCUUCUCCAGCAUAAUCAAAACUCCUUCACAAAAUCCUAACUAACAUUUUGUUGAACCGUGGCCCAAACACCACCUGCCUUAUAUAAACCCUUUGCGUAAUGCAAAUGCUAAUUGUUUGAUAAUUAUGCAGAUAAAGAUGCAGAGCAGACCACAAAAUUCAUUGCAUUAAGUUAACACAAGGCAUUGAAUUGGGAUCUCAAUGGGUAGGGUACCCGUUAAUUUCGAGGUACCCAACCUUAACCCUAUUAAAAAUCAAAUACCUUAACCCUAUUAACUACUCGAAUAAUUUUUAAAAUUACUAUCUUAACCCUAAUCCUCAUACAUUCCCACUACUUUAUAAUUACCCUAACCCAUUUAAAUACUCAAUUAGAUAAAAAAAUUAUUAAAAUCUUCUUUAUGGAUACCCAAUUACCAAAUUAACUAUUCUAAUCUCAUAACUUCCCUUUAGAUUUAUAUGUUAUAAGUUUAUAUAAAUAAAGGUAUAUAUAUUGUAAUUAAUAAUUUUAUGAAUUAUAAUUUUUGUAAUGUUAACACAAAAUGGAAAGUAAAUAUGUUUAUAUUUAAAGAACAUAUAUAUAUAUACAUACACACACACAUGCACACAUAAAAAAUAUUUUAAUAUAUAUAUAAUAUAAUAAUUAUAUUCUUUAUAAAUGAAUCUAAUAUAUAUAUAUAUAUAAAGUAUAUAUAUUAAAAGACAUUACAAGUUAAUUAAUAAUUAUAAUUUCAUAAAUUAAUUUAAUUAAUUAUAUGAGUUUGUCUUUAAUAACAUGAAAUUAAAAAAAAUAAUUAGAUUCCAAAAUUAUUCAAAUCAUUGGAGAGUUGAAUGUGGGGAAGGAACUAGUUGUUUUAUGAUUAGCUAUUCUAUCAUGGGUCGUUGAGCAAGCUAACUUUAAUACCCUAGAGUUAUAUAGGCUUUGAAGCCAUGGGAUAGAGAACAUCAUAAAAUAAUUAGCACNUACUAAAAAUAUUUUAAUAUAUAUAAUAGUAAUUAUAUUUCUUAUAAAUUAACACAAUAUAUAAACUAUAUAUAUUGAAAAACAUUACAAGUUAAGUAAUAAUAAUAGUUUAAUGAAUUAAUUUAAUUAAUUAUAUGGAUUUAUUCUUAAUUUCAUGAAAUUAAAAAGAAACACUUAGGUUCCAAAACUAUUCUAAUCUCAAAAACUUUCUUUAAGUAUAUAUAUUAUAAGAUUAUAUAAACAAUGGUAUAUAUAUUAUAAUUAAUAAUUUUAUAAGUCAUAAUUUUUGUAAUGUUGACACAAAAUAGAAAGUAAAUAUAAUUAUAUUAAAAGUAUAUAUAUAAUAAUAAUUAUAUUCCUUUAUAAUAUGAUAUAAUAUUCAUAUUAUUUAGCAUAAUUAACAAUCUAAUAAUUUUUUAAUUUAAAUAUAUUAAUAUCAUCAUAUUAAUAAUUAGAGUAACCAUACUUUUCAUAUAUUUGUUAAUUUUUAACAAAAAGAAUUGCUUGUAAAGUUAGUAAAAAUUAUAAAUUUUUUAUUUAAUUAUUAAAAUAAUAAUAAAAUAUUUAUAAAUAAUAAUCAAGUUCGAGUAACGGGUGCUCAAGGGGUGGUAUCUGAACUUUACCCGAACCCGAUACAAGUACUGAAAUCACUACCCGAACUCAUCCUAAGCCCGAUUAUAUGGUACUUCAACCUUAUAUAAUCGGAUCGGGUAUUCGCAGUUAUUCUAUAACUAGGUACCUAUUGUCAUCCCUAGCACUGAAUAAGAAAGAAAAAUGAAAACCCAAAAAGAAAAAAUGGCCUUAAACCAAGGCUUAAAACAUCCAUUUAUCUCCUGGCUUGGGACGAAUUCCAAGUCCAGUUCUUAUACUUGCACCCACUUCCAUCAAAUCUUCCACCUGUUCAAAUGAAAUUAUAAAAACAAAAUUACAAAGUUUAGAUUGCACAUGUCUAUAUUAAUAUAUAUUAUAUUAUAUUUAAUUUUAAUUAUAAAAUAUAUUUAAAAAUAUUAAUAUAAAAUUAUUUUUAUAUUUAAUAAUAAAUAUAACUUAAAUGAGUGAGUUCGACUUAAAUUUUCAAAGUGUCAACGUGUUUAAUACUUUGCUUUGAACAAAGACAAAAAAAAUGGAAUAAUUAGUACAAAAAGUUGGGACCUGUCAAUAUAAAAAGCAAAAAGAAAAAGAAUGAGUGAUGGUGUAUAAACAAAUCUUACUACUAGUUUGUAAUUACAUACAAGGAACAUGCCCAUCAAAUAAAUAUAUGAUAAAAUGAAAUAAGCACACAAUUAUUCAUUGAUAGUAGCAGUACAUGAUAAGAGCAGCAAACUCCCUUUCCACUCAAAGUGGAAAGGUAAAUAAACUUAAAAGAGCAAAACACAAAGAAAUUAACACAUAUAAGAAGACUAAUUUUAUUUAUCACUUAAUCGAAGACUGCAUUGAAGUAGGAGUAUUUAUUUUGUGAGUGUUGCUUUCUCUAAGAUUGCCAAUACGGUUUGUAAGACAGUGAGUAUCACCACGAUGAAAGUAGCAACAGUGACAGUUCUUCUCCAAAGAUUGUAGAAAUAAACCUGCUUCAAGAUUGUCCAUCUAUGGUUCCAAGAAUUUUUAUAAUGCCACCCUAGUUCCAUACCGAUUUCACCUUAGAGCAAAGUUGAAUGUGCAACUCCCACCGCAGGAUUGUUAAUCAUAUUUGCCAUAGCUACAUUGCUACCCAAUCUAUUGACAAUAAUCCCCUCUUUUACUGGUAAAUCUACGUCUCUACUGAUGUCAACAAGAGGGUUUAAUAAUUUAAUAUAACUACAAAAAUAAGGUCUUUUUGGAUAAUAAUAUUAUUCGAAGGCCAUCAAAUUUCUAAAAUGAAUCUCAAUCUCGUACUCCACAUCAAUAGUUAACAAUUUUAGCACUCCUUUCUUAAAGCGUACCUGAAGCAAGCUGUACAUAGUAAAUUUGAGCAUAUCAUCCAUAAGCAUAUCUAUAAGCUCAACACCUUCAUACUCAAGACCACCAAUCUUAUAACAAUUAUAUGAAACACCAUUAAACGUAACACCAAAAUCAUCAUUAACUACAACACAUUUAAAUUCAACACCAGACUCCUGCAGCCUCGUUGCGUUGUGCAUGAUGUGGCUUCCUAUACGAAAAUGGCUUCCUGCAAGACUUGUGUUCAGUGGACAAGCCCUCAGCACUUAAUAUCUAAUUAAAUCCGUAAAGUGUUUAAUCUUCUUUUUCUCGAAUGAUGGAUCUUUAUUGACACCAAAAUACAAGCAAACAAGAUCGAGAUACUACAAAAAAAAUCAGCCUUUUCCAACGAAAUUUUUCAUUGGAAAAAGGCUAAAUUCCGUUGGAAAUUCCAUCGGUAAAAGUAUCGUAAGUAAUACUUUUCGUUGGAAAUUUUAGUUGGAAAAAUGAGCUUAUUGUAGGGAACUCGACUGGAUUUCCGUUGGAAAUUAAUUUCCAAAGGAAUUCCAUUGAAAAUUUCCUAUAGAAAUUUUCGUUGGAAACAAUUCUGUUGGAAGCAAUUCCGUUGGAAACAAUUCCGUUGGAAAAUCGUUUUCAACAGAAUUAUGUUGGAAAUGCUUUUCCAAAUUCCGUUGGAAAUGCUUUUCCAAUGGAAUUGUUUUAUAUUCAAAAAAGCAUUUGCCAUGAAAUUUUCUGUUGGAAAUGCUUUUCCAACGGAAAUUAUUUUAUUAGAUUAUCAAUUUCUCAAAAAAUUACCAAAAAUUAUUUUACAAAAAAAAAACAAAUUUCUAUUUCGAUAAUAAAAUAUCCAUUCACAUCGACAUUUGAAUUUCAUAUUAUAUAAAAGAAACAAAUAUUAAAAACUGAAAUUCAAUGUGAAACUCAUAUAAUUUAAAAUUACCCUAACACACAAUAUCUAAGAAAAGUUAAACACAUAUGAUUAUAAAACUAAAAUUGUUAUUAAACAGCUAUACUAAAAAGUAUCUCCGUGUAACAGUGAAACAUUGACAUCAUAUCAUGAAAUGUGAUCUUACUUGUGCAGAUGUUAGCUUGAAGGUCCCGCAGUUCCUUGUUUUGAAAGUGCAUUAGUCAUGAUCAUACUUUUCAUACGUGCCAUAAAUUCACUUAUGCUUUCUGCCAUUGCAUUUUUAAUUUCUUCAUGUAUUUCUCCAUGUAAUUCAUCACGUAUCUUACCCAAGUUUUUUAAAAGAUUUUCUACUUUCUCUUCCAAUGCAAUUGCGGGACUGGUAGCGUUUGAGGGCAUAGGGUCACAUGCAGACUCAGAUGUUGCUACAUUGAUGUGUGUUCCAGUAAGUAAAGCUGUAGCAGGGACCCGAGUACCAAACCCAUGCACGUGAAUGCGUGUAGUCUCAAUCCCUCCUAUUGCUUUAGUCCAAGCAUUCGGAUCGAAUUCUGGCUGAGAAGAUGAAUACUCACCAUAUUUCUGUGAUAUUACAGAAUUAUACAUUUCCUACAAAAAAAAAAUUAAACUAGAUUAGUAUUCAACUACAGUUGUCAACUUUAAUUUUAAAAUUAAUCAAUUUGGUACGUACACUCAUAGACUUGGACUUGUUAUCUAUAAAAUCACCAUGACCCCCUAAACGCUUAUGAGUAUGGUUGAACACUUCCAAAAAACUAAAAUCUCCUUUCAUCUCAAUUGCCUGCAUUUAUUUACAACUACAUAUACUCAAUCAUAAUUGAUAUAUAUAAAUUACAUAAAAGGAAAAAUCAAAGUCAAACUACUAAACAGACAAUUUAAAUUUAGUUUGAAAGAAAACCAAACAUAUAAAUGAGAAGUAAAAGUAAUUCAUACCAUCCUUUUUGCAUGAACCACAAAUGAAACUGAACCGCCAGUGUGCUUUGGGAUGCUUCAUUCUUUUGCCGUCAAACCAUUUUGCCUUGCUUUUCUCGAUUUGUCUUGCCAUUCUUCUGUACCUCAUACCGUAUCGAUAAGGAGAUCCCAGAUUUUAUUCGUGAUCUAUUCCCUUGACAUGCCUUUGUAGUCCCUAAUGUUGUUUGUUUUGGCUUCUGUCAUUGCUUUAUUCCUUUCUUCUGACAGCAUGUCUCUUAACUGAUCAGAACAAAUUUUUUCCCAUAUUCGUCGAACCAAAACAUUGUGAUUUGCAGACCAAACACAUUUUUCCUAGUUCAAAAUUUUUUCAUUAUUAAAAAAAUUGAUAGAAAUUAAUUGAAAACUUAAAGUUAUAAUAAAUCAAUAAAUAACAAACUACAUACCUGAAAUUUUUGAAACAUUAACUCCUUUACAUCAUUAGGGACUUUCCUCCAUAUCGACCAUGGACCAUUAAAGUGAUUUUUGAUGAUCCUUGUGAUUGUAGCGGUGACCUCUCGCUCGAAAAAAGUGCUUAUAGAAUAUAAAAGAAAAUUUUAAUAUAUUAAUGUUUUUAAUAAAUAUGACAAUUUCAUUAACAACUAUUAGAAAUAUCUUAAGACAACACACCUCUCCCCAAUUGGAGUUAUACACAAUCUGUUCGCUGGAUCAACAUGAGUCUGUAAUCCUACACUAGGUCCUCUACCCCUUGACCUUGAGGAUAUGUCAUCUACACUUGCAUCUAAAUCAAUAGAUGGGGAUCUACGAGAAUCGUGAGUAGAUGUCUCAUUUUCUACUUGCUUUGCAAAUGCACCCAACAAAGAAGGUGUCUCAAAUGGCACAUCAUGAAACUCCAGCUGCAUCUGUUGUUGAAUGGAUAGAUCAACAAAUUCUCUAGCAUUUGUAGACAAAGACAUACUUUCAGAGGCAUUUUUUGAUCUAGGUCACGAUUUUGAAUGCUUCCUUUUAACCAUCAUUCUUGCAACAUUUAUAAUGUUAAAAGUCAGACACAAAUCCAUUAGAUAUAAAAUUGAAACAAAGUAUAGAAACCAUCAAUUACAACAAUGAAAAGUAUGAUUAUUCAUUGGUACAAUAAAAUUGACAUUAUAUAGUAUUAAUCUCAACAUUUAUAAAUAUAAACUUAGAUUAAAUUUCACACACAGUCAAGAUCUUUUAAUAUUAUAAAAUUAACAAAUAUACAACAUGUAACAAAAAAUAUCAAACCAAUAUCAUAUAUGCCAACCAUCAUCAUUCACUUUCAGAAUAAUCAAAUUCAUGUUCUUCAUUAUUAUCACUAUCAUCACUCAAAGUUUCAGAAGCGUUGUCUUCAAGUUCAUCUUCUUUUUCAUCGUCAUCUUCAUUUUCAUCUCUUUCCAUGUCAUCUUCUUCAUCUUCAUCUCUUUGCAUGUCAUCGUCUUCAUCCUCAAUCAAGAGAUUAACCUCAUCAUAAUCACCAUUUGCUAAGACUGUCAAGUUAUCAAGUUCUUCCGAUGGAGUAGCAUUCAUUGAAAUAGACACGUCUUCUUGGUAUACUUCUUCAUUCAAAUCAAUUUCAUUUUCUCUAUCUCCACUACUAAGAAUGUUAUAUCUACUCCUAGCUUUUGUUUUAAAUAUUGUCCACCAAUCACAUCGAUCUCUUUUCCGUGAUGGAUAACUACUAUAAUAAACUUGGUGAGCUUGUGCUGCUAAAACAAAUGGUUCAUUAUUGGCAAGUAUUGAGUUGCAUUUAAUUUCAACAAGACCAUGCAAAGGAUCUACCUUAUUACCUUUUUUAGUGUCAAACCAAUGACACUUAAAUAGCACAACUCUGUUUUCGAUUUUAAAAUACUUCAACUCAAUUAUAUCCACUAAAAUACCAUAAAAGUCACGCUCAUAAUCAUUGUAAAAACUCCCUUUUAUGCAAACCCCACUAUUCAUUGUCUUACGAUUUUGCCCGUAAUCUAGGGUGUGAAAUUUGAAACCAUUUACAAAGUAUCCUUUGUAACACCUUAUCAUACGUCCUGGACCAUGAGCAAUUUCAAGUAUACGUGGGUUAAUUUCAUUUGUAUGUGUUGCAACCUACAAACAUGACAUACAAGAUCAAAAUUAAUAAUUACAUAAUUAAUGCGUCAAUAUUAUUAAAAAUUCACUUAUAAUUUACAUAAACUUACAUAAUUUUUAAACCAUUUAACGAAUCUUGCAUCACACACUUUCUCCAAUUCAUCUUCCGAUAUAUGCACAACAUCUCCCUUGAUAAUAUCAUCAAACAUUCUAUCAUCAUAUCCACAAUUUAGUGAUUAAAUUCAUUCUUAUAAUUCAAGUUUGGAUUAGUAUUUUAUGAUUAAAAAAUUAAAUAAUUAUGUAGGAAAGGAAUUACUAUUUUUUUAAAGUAAGGACUUUUGAUAUGUUUUUUUACUUAAUCUGAAAAAAAUAUUAUAUAAAAAGGAAAAUAGUAAAUUUUAUAGAACACAAAAAUUGUAAAUUUUUUAAAAUUUUUAUAUUUAAUUGUCAAUAUUUUAUUAUUUUAUUUGAUUUAUAUCUUCUUCAAUUUAAAACAGCUCUCUAUUAUAAGUGACCAAUUAAUGUCAUUACUUGACCAAUGUUUUGUUAUUGUAUUUGCUUUUAUUUUAUUUGAUUAAUUUGAUAAUUAGUUUAUGGUUUCUAUUCCUUCUUUAUUUUUAAUUAUUAUUUUGUAAAAAAAAUGUUAAUUAUAAACGUAACUUAUUUCUUGUUAACCAAGAUAUAUUAUCAGACUUAACAUAUGAUAGUUGCCCCUAUCAUCCAUUAACUUACCUAGUUAUGCUCAAUCCCUUAGCAAAAUGUAAAAUAGAAUUAUUUUUUAAUUUUGAUUUAUGAUUAUGGUUUGUAAAUAUAUCCAAAUUACUCAUUUGUAUUUUUUUUUCUUUUGAGUUGGAACUAUAAAUUAAGGAAAAAUACAAAUUAUAUAAGCUUAGGAUUAUGGUCUAUAAAUAUAUUCAAGUUAUUUAUUUGUAAAUUUUCCUUUUGUCUUUUUUUUUUUUGAGUUGAGGAGCAUAGUUACCACAUUAAAUAUUAUAUCAGCUGAAUAAAGAUAAUUUAAUUAAAUAGAGAAAAUUUUAUGUAAAACGGUUCUAGCACCAAUAAAAAUCUUUCAAUAUAAACCCUAAAUAUUUUUACAUGGUAGUCAACUUCUUCUAAGAGAUUAAGAUAUGUGAUUUCUUUUGUUUUUUAUCUUUAGAGCUUAUUUUGUAUGAGCACAUACCAAGACAAAUAUUAUAUCAAUUUAUUUGUAUAGAAGGUCUGUACAACUAUCUUCAAAUCCAAUGAUGGGUUAUAGGAAAUACUCAAAUUCAUUCCAGGUUGAUCAUAUGAAAGUUUGUCGUUUUUUUUUUUGUAAAUUUUUUUAAAAUUAGAUUUUGCUUAUAGUUAUCCAGCUAAAAAUUCAUUAAGUAAAUAGUUAAGAUAAUAAUGUAACAAAGAUAAAUAGCGUCACAUGCUAUUAGUUUAGAAUCUUUAAGAGGAAUUAUAGUCAUCAACAGUUUUGAAAUUCAUUCAUCAUCAAACUUCAAUUACAUAGCAUGUAUAUAGACUCAGCAACAAGAUUUACAGUCAAUUUACUUUUCAUUAUAAAUCUAAAUUGAUUUUUAAUUUUUUCAACUUAAUGACUAAAAUUAAAAUUACAAUGAACAAACAAUUUUAAAUCAAAUAAACCAUUUUCUACGUGAUUUAAUGAAAAAUUCAUUCUUAUCAUUAAUUUUAUUUUUAUAAAUAACAAUUUUCAUCAAUAAAAAUUAUUCAAAAAAAUGACAAUUUAAAAAUAUAAUGAAUAAAGAUUUCUACUUUCGAGAAUAAAAAAAUUUGCACCCAUAUUUACUAAGCUUAUUAAGAUGUUAAAGAUUAUUAAAAAGUAAUAUCUUUAUUUAAUCUAUAAUAAAUCAUAAAAUUAUGUAUCAACAACUGCAUUUUUUUAUAAUAAAAAAAUACUAACAAAUUGCCAGUAGAGGGAAGAGAUAUUUAGGGUUUUUGGUGAUCGAGCUUCAAGCCACCGGUGGAGGAGAAGGUGAGAGAGGAGUAGAAAGCGGCCAACGGAGGGAAGAGUUUAGAGAGAAGUCAGACGGUGGUUUUCAAUUAGUCAAGCACCUUCUUGAUCGGUGUUCGCCAUAUAAGCAACUUCCUUCUCAUGGAAACAAACGACAAUAUUUCUCACUAGUUAGCAAUAUCAACAGAAUUAAUCAACCCUCAACUUUAGAUUUAAGCCUUGAUAAGUCCAACAUGGUGUUUAAACUUUCGUUUUGAGGUACCUAUGACGCCCAACUUUAAAUUUAUCCCAAAAGAAUUUGAAGUCAAAUCCGAAUGAUAAAAUUUAAUUACAUAAAAAAUGAAGCAAUUAGCUACAGAUAAGAAGUAAAUAAAAUCAAUGCCUUCGUCAGAAUAGAAUUAGUACGUACCACUGAAGAGAAAGAGGUCAAACCAGGAGAAACAGCUCAAGGUUCAAAGUGCAAAAUGGGGUAAUCCUUGUACAAAAUCAGUUCUUAACAUUGGAAAGAGCCCACUUGUUUCGUCCAAUUAAGAGCCAACCGUCGUACAAAGUCAUUGUUUUUGCUUUUUCUUAUUGUUUGAAGUGACAAAAAAUCAUUGUUUUUUUAAAGAGGUUGUUAUAAAGCGACAAAGUAUCCUUGUCUAAAUAUGAUGUGCAUGUUCUAUAAGUAAGAUGCUAUUUGUAGAAAAUCACUUUAACCAACCACUCAUAUCUCACCCACAAAUUUAAUAUAUAUUAAUUUAUAGUUUCGCAAGGGAACAUUUUGUGUGUGUGUGUGUGUGGGAAAUCCAUGGACCACAUUGCAUUGUCAGGAAAAGGCAUCAUCUCAACACCCCUAGUUUCAGGACGGUAAAAGUUUCGAAAAAUGGCACAUGGAAUCCAAAUUUCAGAACUUGUGCAGGAUUCACCACCUACCAGGAAUACAAUGAAAUAUGUUAAAACCAUUCGUAACAUGUCAGGCAGAAAACUACGUUUGUAUUCUGCAGAUGCUAAAUGGAGGGUGCUGGGCGCAAUUUCCAUCUGGUUCUUAACUGCAGCCAUUCGGUAAUGGGCAGUAUAGCGACCAUCUACCAGAAUUCCCCCUGCAAUCAUGGGUUGUCUGCCGAAAAACUUCCCCACAAAAAAAAAAAUGAUAAGUGUUGGAAAAUUGAAUACUAUAUUUUUUUCAGCUUCAAGUGUUUGUUGUCAACUUACAACUCCUUCACAACAUCCUAACUGACAUUUUGUUGAACCGUGGCACAAACACCACCUGCCAUAGAUAAACCCUUUGCGUAAUGCAAAUGCUAAUUGUUUGAUAAUUAUGCAGAGAAAGAUGCAGAGCUGAACCACAAAACUCAUUGCAUUAAGGUAACACAAGGCACUGAAAAGGAAAGAAAAAUGAAAACCCAGAAAGAAAAAAUGGCCUUAAACCAAGGCUAAAGCACUCAUUCAUCCCCUGCCCUGGGACGAAUUCCAAGUCCAGUUCUUUUACUUGCACCCACUUCCAUCAAAUCUUCCACCUGUUCAAAUGAAAUUAUAAAAACAAAAUUAUAAAUGUUGAAGGUGAAAAUUUGAAAACACGGGAACCAAUAGUUCUACCUGUGGCAACGCUUGCUGUGGCCCAAUACCAGUGGCUAUUGACGCGGGUCCUAUCUCCAUCACCACCGCUCUCCUCCACCUCCAUGACUUGUCUCUUCCUUCUUCAGACUUUCACUGACUUUGCAGUUUGAUCCUUUUCCAAGCUGCUGCUCUUCGUACCGCUUCCUUGAUUGGAUUGGCCCGACUUGGGCCAGACUUGGUCAUGAUUUUUUAGACCCAGGCUCGACCAGCACAAUCCAAAAAUGUUUUUGUAAUAAUAAAUAUUAUAUUUUUAUUUAAUUAUAAAUUUAAAAUAGUAAUAAAAAUUUUUAUAUUUAAAAAUAAAUAUAACUUAAAUGGGUGAGUUCGGAUUUAAGUUUUUAAGAUGUCAAUCUCAUACGAUCAACUAUUUAUUUGUUAUUCUUUAUUUUAAUCAUGAGAAAUUUUCUUUUUCCUUAAAAGAUAGAAGUUUGAAAAAUCAUUUGAGAUCUUAGUUUUUUUUUUUAAUUUAACAUUUCAUGAAAAACUUUUUUAGUUGUCACAAGUUACACAUUUAAUGAAUUCACGAAUUAUUUUAAUACUUUAGUUUGAACAAAGGAAAGAAAGAAUAAUUAGUAAAAAAGGUUGUGGCCUUUGAAUAUAAAAAGAAAAAAGAAAGAGAAUGAGUCAUAGUCUUACUACCAGUUAGUUAUAUACAAGGAACAAGUCAAUCCCAUAAAAAUAUGACAAAAUCUAAUAGGCACACAAUUCUUCAUUAAUAGUAACAGUACAUUUUAUGAUAAGUGCAACAAAGCUUGAAAACAAAUUCUCUUUCCACUCAAAGUGGAAAGGCAAAUAAAUUUAAAAAAGUGCAAAAGAAACGCAAACUAACACAAAUAGAAAGAUUGAUUUCAUUUUUCUUUGAAUCGAAUACUACCAAUCAAGUAAGAGUAUUUAUUUUGUAGGCAUUGCUCGAUCCAAGAUUGCCAAUACGGUUUGAGUGAGAGUUAUUACCACUACGAUGAAAGCAGCAAAAGUAGCAGUUCCUCUCCAAAGAUUGUUGAAAUAGACAUGUUUCAAGGUUGUCCUUGUACGGUUCCAAGGAUUAUCAUAAUACUCGUUCAAAUCCUUUCCUAUUUUGUCAUAACACACACUAAGGUUUACAACACCCGUCAUGAGAUUGUUGAUCAUAUUUGCCACAGCUGCAUUGCUUCCCAUAUCAUUAACAAAAAUCCCCUCCUUUUCCAACAAAUCCACAUCUUUAUCUGUGUCAACAAGAUAGUCUAACAGUUGCAUAUAACUACAAAAAUAAGCCUCCCCGGAAUAGUGACAUUGUUCGAAGGCAAUCAGGUUUCUAAUCCAAAUUUCACUGUGGUCGUUCCAAUAAAAAUAUGGGAUUUUUAGCACUCCUUUUGCAAAUUUUACGUACAAGUCACUCACAUCAACGUUAUCUUUAAUAGCUUCAAACUUAACACCAGCCUCAUGCAACAUCGUUGCGCUGUAUAUGUUGUCGAUACACUCAAUUGAGUUUGAAGGACAAGUUCUCACUAGAACGCUUCUAGUUAAAUCUAUAAAGUGUUUAAUCCCCUUUUUGUUGAUUAAAUGAUCUUCGUUUUCGUUGAGGAACAAGCAAGCAAGGUGGGGAAAAGAGGGUUUACCAGAGGUAGCAAAAGCUAGGUUAUAUAGAGCUUCAAGGAUAAAGAACGGGAGUUGAUUUUCAAGUAAUAACAAAUCCAAUUCUAGUUCAACUCUUAACCAUACCUUAUUGACUAAGAAGUCGAUGACUUCUUUUUCAGAGUUCCUCAAGAACAACUCAAUGAGAAAAACUGCGUCAAAUAAUAUUAUCUUCACAAACUUGGAAACCGCCAACUCAGUGUCCAAGACAAAUUCGACAUCAUAACACCUGCAUAUAUCUCUUACUCGCGCUUUGAUGAAACUGGCAAAUUGUUCCAAUGUGUUUUCGGAAGUCCUUUGACAAAAUUUGUCGUAAUAUCUCUCCUUUUGCCUCUCCAUUCGAGCCAAAUUUUUGUUACCAUGAUGAAUAGGCCCUAUUGAAAUCAACCGCGGAGUGAAGGCUUUUUGGUUUGCUUCACGAAAACGACUAGGGACCUUGUAAAUACAACAAUCAGGCGCAAGCUCAAAG